rnacentral:rRNA from 1 species
UACGAAGGGGGCUAGCGUUGUUCGGAAUUACUGGGCGUAAAGCGCACGUAGGCGGGUCGUUAAGUCAGGGGUGAAAUCCCAGAGCUCAACUCUGGAACUGCCUUUGAUGCUGGCGACCUUGAGGCCGGAAGAGGUUAGUGGAAUUCCCAGUGUAGAGGUGAAAUUCGUAGAUAUUGGGAAGAACACCAGUGGCGAAGGCGGCUAACUGGUCCGGAUCUGACGCUGAGGUGCGAAAGCGUGGGGAGCAAACAGG